UAAAAGGUGACUUCAUCUUCAUCC
rnacentral:siRNA from 1 species